rnacentral:rRNA from 1 species
CCAGACUCCUACGGGAGGCAGCAGUAGGGAAUCUUCGGCAAUGGACGAAAGUCUGACCGAGCAACGCCGCGUGAGUGAAGAAGGUUUUCGGAUCGUAAAACUCUGUUGGUAGAGAAGAACGUUGGUGAGAGUGGAAAGCUCAUCAAGUGACGGUAACUACCCAGAAAGGGACGGCUAACUACGUGCCAGCAGCCGCGGUAAUACGUAGGUCCCGAGCGUUGUCCGGAUUUAUUGGGCGUAAAGCGAGCGCAGGUGGUUUAUUAAGUCUGGUGUAAAAGGCAGUGGCUCAACCAUUGUAUGCAUUGGAAACUGGUAGACUUGAGUGCAGGAGAGGAGAGUGGAAUUCCAUGUGUAGCGGUGAAAUGCGUAGAUAUAUGGAGGAACACCGGUGGCGAAAGCGGCUCUCUGGCCUGUAACUGACACUGAGGCUCGAAAGCGUGGGGAGCAAGCAGGAUUAGAUACCCUGGUAGUCCACGCCGUAAACGAUGAGUGCUAGAUGUAGGGAGCUAUAAGUUCUCUGUAUCGCAGCUAACGCAAUAAGCACUCCGCCUGGGGAGUACGACCGCAAGGUUGAAACUCAAAGGAAUUGACGGGGGCCCGCACAAG